UAGCUAGGUGUGGAUGGAUAUGAGGAGAGCUUCACAAUCUUGCAAAAGUGUGAAGAGCUGUGUGUGUGUGUGUGUGUGUGUGUGUGUGUGUGUGUGUGUGUGUGUGUGUGUGUGUGUGUGUGAGUGUGAGUGACACCGUCAGCCUUAACUUCCUCAACUGGUUGUCAGGCCACGACUGCCCCGGGUCUGACAGGAUUGCUGAGAUCAUCCGCGAGGACCUGUGGCCCAACCCCCUGCGCUACUACCCGAGGGAGCAAGGCGCCGGGAGAGAGCCAGCGGUGAAGGCGACGGAGCAGGAGAGUUCGGCCGAGUAGAACGAGAGCCCGGAGGCGUGUGCAGACGCGCGUGAGACCGGCGGCCGGGGUCUGGGGCACCGGAGAGGAGCGAGGAAAGGAUCGCCAGUGGAGGUUGCAGAGGGUGGGCAGCACGUACCCGGAAUGAGGCCGAGAGAGACGUCAACAGGCUAACGAGUGCUCCUGUCUUG